rnacentral:rRNA from 1 species
GAUGAACGCUGGCGGCGUGCCUAAUACAUGCAAGUCGAGCGAACAGACGAGGAGCUUGCUCCUCUGACGUUAGCGGCGGACGGGUGAGUAACACGUGGAUAACCUACCUAUAAGACUGGGAUAACUUCGGGAAACCGGAGCUAAUACCGGAUAAUAUAUUGAACCGCAUGGUUCAAUAGUGAAAGACGGUUUUGCUGUCACUUAUAGAUGGAUCCGCGCCGCAUUAGCUAGUUGGUAAGGUAACGGCUUACCAAGGCAACGAUGCGUAGCCGACCUGAGAGGGGGAUCGGCCACACGGGAACUGAGACACGGUCAAGACUCCUACGGGAGGCAGCAGUAGGGAAUCUUCCGCAAAGGGCGAAAGCCUGACGGAGCAACGCCGCGUGAGUGAUGAAGGUCUUCGGAUCGUAAAACUCUGUUAUUAGGGAAGAACAAAUGUGUAAGUAACUAUGCACGUCUUGACGGUACCUAAUCAGAAAGCCACGGCUAACUACGUG